AAAAAUCAUAUUUGUCUCUAUGGGAACGAUACUUGACUUAUCAUUAUAUUUCUUAUUGAUUACGUAUACUUGCGUGUCGUGCUUAAUUAGAUUACACCCAACAAGUCUCUUAUCGAGUUUUGAUUAUACGGCUCUUGAUUUAUCUUUUUAUAUGUCUGAUGUCAUGUUCUUUGGAUUGAGAGUUUUGGGCCUUUGACCUCUGACCAUUUUGGGUCUAGACAUAUAUCCUCGGGGGCAUCGAUGGGAUCAGUCGACUUUGGUGGAGGUCUCGAUUUCAGAGAGAUUUGCCCACUACCGUCUCCAGUUGAAGUUGUUAUCGGCAUCUGAUGUGGUAUGGAUCCCUUACACUGCGGAACAUCUAAUAGAGGGAUUCAAGGGAGGUUUCCCUACAUGUCCUGAGUAUACUUUGUCUACUCGCCAGAUUCUUUUCCUAUUUGAUGGAGGCUAGGAGCUAUACCUUAGGGAGCGCGCCUUCAAAUGUAUUUUUGAGGAGAACAACAUCCCUUUCCUUUCUCUGGCUCAGCGGUUCUGUCUUUAACUCAGUCGAUCGCAGAUAUUCCUACAGCGGGUUAUGAAGGAUUCCUCUUAUCGGAUGGUCCCACAACUUUAGCUAAUUUUUUCACUUGGUGGGGGCCUCGCACUAUCGGAGCUCAGACCCGGGCUACACAGUUUCUGGGGGAUGUGGUUCCGGGUUCUUGUCGUGAUGACCGAUUGGGUGGCUUGUGUUCAAGAGCUGACUCAUCUGUCUCAGAUCACAGAGUUGACACAACGGCUGGAUAUGAUGUCCCUUUUUGUUGGCCACUUAGGUGGGGACCCCUUAGAAGUUGAUAGUUUUGAUUCCCAUGGAUCUGAGGUUGGACCGUCUAGUACUGGUGGCUUUGCUGAUGGAGGAGAUCCCUUUUUCUAUUGUGCGGAUAUGCAGGACAUGCCCACUCAUGAUGACCUAACUUAGGUUGAUUAGUUUAAUGACUACAGUACCUUUAUGGAUGAUAUAGAGAUCCUUGUAUAGGCCUUUUGUUAGUCAUUGGGCGCUUAUGCCCCAUUACCCUGUUCUUUUUAUUUUAUUUUUCACAUGUAUCAUGGAUAUGACAUUAAUGUAUAAAGUUGAUGUAUUUUAUUGAGAUAUAUAUAUGAU
rnacentral:lncRNA from 1 species